AAACUCACUAUACUGUACACCAAACUAGAGGUAGCUUAUAAAGAAAAUACAUUACUCUUCCUAACAUUUUAGGUUUUUGUGCCCAGCAUACCUUCUUAAAAAAAAUUUCUGGAGCUCUUUGAGGCCUUGGGGAAAAAAUAAAAUGAAUGAAAAAGGAGCUGACCUGCGAUAUCAUGGAGGCUAAAUAUUUCACUAAUUCUGUUUUGUUGAAGAUUACAGUCUGAUUUGGUUUAUUUGUUUUUUGUUUUGGUUUGAGAGCUUUCCUUCUUUCUCCCUUUAUUUGGCACUCAUCCUUCUUAAGAGACUAUUUGAGUUUUAGUAGCUGGACUCUGGGAACCGCAGGCAUGUUGUUUGGCAGAUGGAUUUUUGCAGUUCUACAGACCAAACCUAAUUAUCCAUUUUGAGUUGUCAUCUGAGUUUCUGUUUGAGUUGCCAAUGUUUGUCCAUUGGAUUUUUCUCCUGUCCAUUAAGCAAUUUUCUCGCAUGAUAGAGCAUCUACACAAAAAGAAUUUCAGGAAACCAGCAGCCAUGUGUUGAGACCCAUAGGGGAGCUGCUGAGAUUAUUCACACAAAGUCCAUUUCUCUCCUUAAGCAAGGAAGCAGGAAAUAUAUAAUACUAGAAUAAGGAACUCAGAAAAGAUGUGGCCUAACACAUCUACAAGACACAGUCUGGAAAAUUCCUAUCAUGUUAACAGUCCAACAUAUGCGCUGAAUGCAUUUCUACUUGGUCAAGCCAGAGAAUAUUUAAUCUCCAUCUGAAUAACAUAAAAAUGAAAAUGCUAUAAAUUGCAACUACCUAAAUAUUUUUUGAAUCAAUACAUAUCAAAUAUGUUUAAGUGUUCUUUUCUCAUUUUUCUUAAGUUUCUACAAAGGAUCAACUGUCACCCGCACCCAGCAUCUCCUGCCAUAUCUGAAGUUUGGGUGACUCACUGACCCAACAGAAAUCAGUCUCCCUUUAGUGAUACCCCCUAUAUUCCUUUCUUUUUUUCAUUGCUUAGCAAUAGCACUGCCAGGGAAAUGGAAACAAACAAAAAAGGAGAAAAUCAACCCCCGUUUAUUUUUAUGUACAAUAAAGUUUUCAUGAAAGUGAAAUCAUAAUGCCUAAUGGUGACAAGAAUGCUUUUUAGUAAUGAGAGACUUUGUAAACCUUUCAAGUGCUUUAAAAAACGAUAUAUAAUAUUUGUACCUAUUUUGGGGGUACUUGUGAUAUUUUGAUACAUGUAUACUAUGUGAAAUCAAAUUAGGGUAAUUGGGGGUAUCCAUCACCUCAAAU
rnacentral:lncRNA from 1 species